GAAAUGCGAUAAGUAAUGUGAAUUGCAGAAUUCCGUGAAUCAUCGAAUCUUUGAACGCACAUUGCGCCCUCUGGCAUUCCGGGGGGGAUGCCUAUCCGAGCGUCAUUACGCACCCUCAAGCCCGGCUUGUGUGAUGGGCCCCGGCGUCUCGUUCGCGAGACGGGCCCGAAAGGCAGCGGCGGCGUCGACCCGAUGAGCCCGAGCGUAUGGGGACUUCUGUCACACGUUCGCGGUGCGGACCGGCGCCUGCUUGACUUUUCUGAUUAUCCAGGUUGACCUCGGAUCAGGUAGGGAUACCCGCUGAACUUAAGC
rnacentral:misc_RNA from 1 species